AUAAUAUGUCAUAUUAAAUCGAAAUGUAUUUAUAAAUUUUAAAAGUUUCUGUAUUAGACGCUACUGCAGUUCGAAUUCCGAACGAAGGAACGUUCCUCUCCAUUAAAUAUCCGAUGCCGUAUGCGCGUGCGCGCCUGGUUUACGGAGCAUGCAAACGAAAAGUGUAAAUCCAGAAAAUUGUAAAAGAAGAGAAUAAAAUAAAAGAAGAUUAAAAAAAAAUGCCUUCCGAAGAUAAAACUUUUCCGAUAACAAUACAAUUCGGAGGUGGAGCUGAGACAUUGUUCGAUAAGAAAAAAAUACACAAGGUUAACUUACCUGAUGACGCAUGGACAUUGAAAAAAUUAUUAUAUUGGAUUAAAGAUAAUCUCUUGAAAGAACGAUUGGAUCUUUUUAUGCAAGAAGACACCGUACGACCAGGAAUUCUUGUUCUUGUUAACGACACAGAUUGGGAAUUAUUGAAAAGAGGGCUAAGUCGUAUUACUGUGCGAGAAGUUCGUAGGCAGUUAAUCAAUUUCGUCGCUAGAUGGCUGCAGGUAUACAAGUCAGGGACCGAGUAGUUUAUCAUUGACAUUCAGUAUCGAAGAUCGCACUUUACAGGCAUCUACACUUAUCAACAUCGCGUUAGAGGCUUUCGAACAGAACUAAAGAUCUUAUUAAAAUAUAAUCAAUGAUAUUAUUACCAACAUGCACAACGUAUACUUCACGAAAUAGUUCGAGGAAAGAACAUAUCUUUUAAAAAGGUCAAGGAGAUUAUGUUUUACAACCAAACGACAACGUUUUCUUCAUAUCGACGUUACACGGUGGUUAAAAUGUUAGAAAGGACAUCACUCUUUCUACUGCCAUUGCUUGUUGAUGGAAGUAAGUGAAGUAUUCUAGAAGGAGAUGAUCAUUUGUAAUUACAAAACUAACAAUCUCGAAAGAGUUUAUUAUUAUUAUUUUAAUAAUAAGAUCAAGUUACAUCGAUAAUAAAGUUAUUUUUAUAAAUAUGCAAUCGAAGUAUAUA